GACAGGUAGGCGAGGAGAGGAUCCUCAGGUGUUCGAGCUAACCCGGGUUAAGGAACUAGGCAAAAUGGUCCCGUAACUUAGGGAUAAGGGACGCCCGGUCUGGUGACGGUGUACAACCUGAGCCGGGCUGGGCCGCAGAGAAAUGGCCUGGGCGACUGUUUACUAAAAACACACGUCUCUGCCAAGUCGUAAGACGACGUAUAGGGACUGACACCUGCCCGGUGCUGGAGCGUUAAGGGGAGAGGUCAGAAUACGCCUAACCGUGUAUUCGAAGCUUUGAACCGAAGCCCCAGUAAACGGCGGCCGUAACUAUAACGGUCCUAAGGUAGCGAAAUUCCUUGUCGGGUAAGUUCCGACCCGCACGAAUGGUGUAACGAUUUGGGCACUGUCUCAACCCGGGGCUCGGCGAAAUUGCAGUAGCGGUGAAGAUACCGUUUUCCCGUGGAAGGACAGAAAGACCCCGUGGACCUUUACUGCAGCUUGAUAUUGGGUUCCGCCGCGGCGUGUGUAGGAUAGGCGGGAGACUUUGAAGCCUGGUCGCCAGAUCAGGUGGAGUCAACGUUGAAAUACCGUCCUCGCUUCGUUGGAACUCUAACACGGGUCCGUGAUCCGGAUCGUGGACAGUGUCUGGCGGGCAGUUUGACUGGGGUGGUCGCCUCCCAAAAAGUAACGGAGGCGCCCAAAGGUUCCCUCAGCGCGGUCGGUAAUCGCGCGUCGAGUGCAAAGGCACAAGGGAGCUUGACUGCGAGACGGACAGGUCGAGCAGGUACGAAAGUAGGGCUUAGUGAUCCUGCGGUCCCGAGUGGAAGGGCCGUGGCUCAACGGAUAAAAGGUACCCCGGGGAUAACAGGCUGAUCGCCACCGAGAGUUCACAUCGACGUGGCGGUUUGGCACCUCGAUGUCGGCUCAAUGCAUCCUGGGGCUGGACAAGGUCCCAAGGGUUCGGCUGUUCGCCGAUUAAAGCGUUACGCGAGCUGAGUUUAGAACGUCGUGAGACAGUUCGGUCUCUAUCCUCCACGGGUGUAGGAAGCUUGAGGGGAUCUGUCUUCAGUACGAGAGGACCGAGACGGACGCACCCCUAGUGUACCAGUUGUCCCGCCAGGGGCACCGCUGGGUAGCUACGUGCGGACCAGGAUAAGCGCUGAAAGCAUCUAAGUGCGAAACCGGCCCCAAAACUAGGCUUCCCGACCGAAAGGUCCUCAAGGCCACUCGGAGAUUACGAGUUUGAUAGGCCGCAGGUGUAAGCACAGUAAUGUGUUCAGCCGAGCGGUACUAAUCGGCCGUGCGGCUUCAUUAC
rnacentral:rRNA from 1 species